GCUGGGCUCAGCUCAGCGGCCACGCCGUCGCCUUUGCCUGAUGUCUUCAGUUUGCAAUACUGAGGACUUACACAGAUCAAGCUGGGACUGACUUGAAAACCUCCUUCCUGCUGGCUAGUGUCAUAGAGCUGGAAGAUGCUACACAGGCUGCUUGAGGAGACAUGUCAUCAACAACUUUACCCAAAGCUGCAUCUUGAACACUGCUGCACCAGCCUUCCAGGCAAAGCUGCCAACAGUGAAGAAAGCUGGAUCUAUAGAGCUAGAGCGUGAGCUGCCUGCUCCAGGUCCGUUAGCACUCGCCACCCAGAGCCCCAUAACCCUAAGGAGCACAAGUGCUUAUUCCUGUGGAGUGAGGGUUCCGGACAGAGCACUCUGCUGUGGGCCUGGACCAAGGA